rnacentral:tRNA from 1 species
GAGGGUAUAGCUCAGUGGUAGAGUGUGUGCUUAGUAUGCGUGAAGUCCUGGGUUCUAUUCCCAGUACCUCCA